rnacentral:rRNA from 1 species
UGGGGAAUUUUGGACAAUGGGCGAAAGCCUGAUCCAGCAAUGCCGCGUGUGUGAAGAAGGCCUUCGGGUUGUAAAGCACUUUUGUCCGGAAAGAAAUCCUUGGCUCUAAUACAGUCGGGGGAUGACGGUACCGGAAGAAUAAGCACCGGCUAACUACGUGCCAGCAGCCGCGGUAAUACGUAGGGUGCAAGCGUUAAUCGGAAUUACUGGGCGUAAAGCGUGCGCAGGCGGUUUGCUAAGACCGAUGUGAAAUCCCCGGGCUCAACCUGGGAACUGCAUUGGUGACUGGCAGGCUAGAGUAUGGCAGAGGGGGGUAGAAUUCCACGUGUAGCAGUGAAAUGCGUAGAGAUGUGGAGGAAUACCGAUGGCGAAGGCAGCCCCCUGGGCCAAUACUGACGCUCAUGCACGAAAGCGUGGGGAGCAAACAGGAUUAGAUACCCUGGUAGUCCACGCCCUAAAACGAUGUCAACUAGUUGUUGGGGAUUCAUUUCCUUAGUAACGUAGCUAACGCGUGAAGUUGACCGCCUGGGGAGUACGGUCGCAAGAUUAAAACUCAAGUGAAUUGACGGGGUCAUAGCUGUUUCCU